GGGCUCUUGGCACAGUUGGUAGCGCGCACGCUUUGCAUGCUCGAUUGCCUGCGUGAGGUCGUGGGUUCAAUUCCCACAGUGUCCA